CGGUUGAUCCUGCCGGAGGCCGCUGCUAUCCGGCUGGGACUAAGCCAUGCUAGUCUAGGGGCUUGCACUCCUUCGGGGGUGCAAGCACCGGCGGACGGCUCAGUAACACGUGGACAACCUGCCCUCGGGUGGGGGAUAACCCCGGGAAACUGGGGCUAAUCCCCCAUAGGUGAUGGGUGCUGGAAUGCCCCAUCUCCGAAAGCGCUUAGCGCCCGAGGAUGGGUCUGCGGCGGAUUAGGUAGUUGGUGGGGUAACGGCCCACCAAGCCUAAGAUCCGUACGGGCUGUGGGAGCAGGAGCCCGGAGAUGGACCCUGAGACAAGGGUCCAGGCCCUACGGGGCGCAGCAGGCGCGAAACCUCCGCAAUGCGGGAAACCGCGACGGGGUUAGCCGGAGUGCCCGUGCAUUGCACGGGCUGUCGGGGUGCCUAAACAGCACCCCAUAGCAAGGGCCGGGCAAGGCCGGUGGCAGCCGCCGCGGUAAGACCGGCGGCCCGAGUGGCGGCCACUCUUAUUGGGCCUAAAGCGUCCGUAGCCGGCCCAGUAAGUCCCCCGGGAAAUCUGGUCGCUUAACGAUCAGACUUCCGGGGGAUACUGCUGGGCUAGGGACCGGGAGAGGCCGAGGGUAUUCCCGGGGUAGGGGUGAAAUCCUGUAAUCCCGGGAGGACCACCUGUGGCGAAGGCGCUCGGCUGGAACGGGUCCGACGGUGAGGGACGAAGGCCUGGGGAGCGAACCGGAUUAGAUACCCGGGUAGUCCAGGCUGUAAACGAUGCGGGCUAGGUGUCACCGGAGCUACGAGCUCCGGUGGUGCCGGAGGGAAGCCGUUAAGCCCGCCGCCUGGGAAGUACGGCCGCAAGGCUGAAACUUAAAGGAAUUGGCGGGGGAGCAC
rnacentral:rRNA from 1 species